UACGUAGGGUGCGAGCGUUGUCCGGAAUUACUGGGCGUAAAGAGCUUGUAGGCGGUUUGUCGCGUCGUCCGUGAAAACUUGGGGCUCAACCCCAAGUUUGCGGGCGAUACGGGCAGACUUGAGUACUGCAGGGGAGACUGGAAUUCCUGGUGUAGCGGUGGAAUGCGCAGAUAUCAGGAGGAACACCGGUGGCGAAGGCGGGUCUCUGGGACGGUACUGACGCUGAGACGCGAAAGCGUGGGGAGCGAACAGG
rnacentral:rRNA from 1 species